rnacentral:sRNA from 1 species
AGGUACACAGAAGACAUGGAACUUGACGAUGCCAUUCACACAGCGAUACUGACAUUGAAAGAAG